rnacentral:rRNA from 1 species
AGGUGAACCUGCGGAAGGAUCAUUACCGAGUUUUCGGGCUUCGGCUCGACUCUCCCACCCUUUGUGAACGUACCUCUGUUGCUUUGGCGGCUUCGGCCGCCAAAGGACCUUCAAACUCCAGUCAGUAAACGCAGACGUCUGAUAAACAAGUUAAUAAACUAAAACUUUCAACAACGGAUCUCUUGGUUCUGGCAUCGAUGAAGAACGCAGCGAAAUGCGAUAAGUAAUGUGAAUUGCAGAAUUCAGUGAAUCAUCGAAUCUUUGAACGCACAUUGCGCCCCUUGGUAUUCCGGGGGGCAUGCCUGUUCGAGCGUCAUUACAACCCUCAAGCUCUGCUUGGAAUUGGGCACCGUCCUCACUGCGGACGCGCCUCAAAGACCUCGGCGGUGGCUGUUCAGCCCUCAAGCGUAGUAGAAUACACCUCGCUUUGGAGCGGUUGGCGUCGCCCGCCGGACGAACCUUCUGAACUUUUCUCAAGGUUGACCUCGGAUCAGGUAGGGAUACCCGCUGAACUUAAGCAUAUCAAUAAG